UCGGCAACGGAUAUCUUGGCUCUGCAUCGAUGAAGAACGCAGCGAAAUGUGAUAAGUGGUGUGAAUUGCAGAAUCCCGUGAACCAUCGAGUCUUUGAACGCAAGUUGCGCCCGAGGCCAUCAGGCUAAGGGCACGCCUGCCUGGGCGUCGUGU
rnacentral:rRNA from 1 species